rnacentral:lncRNA from 1 species
UUGGGAAUAGUCCCACCUUAGUUGUGGAAGAUGGAGUAGCGCAACUUAUAAGUGUGAGGGAGUGCUUACCCAUUAGACUAGUCUUCUGGGGAGAGAUGUGCCCCAAGUUUUUGUUUGUUGCUGUUCAUGCUAGGCCAGCAAUGUGAUGCGGCCAAUGAUGGGGAAACCGGAUGCUUAGGAAUAGAGGUCCGAAAGUGCGUAUCACGCAGGCGCGUUGCGGCCAACAUUUUGGUACGUAAUGGUGUGGAUUUUCUAUGUGAACUUUUUGUCCCAUCGUUAUUUGUUGCAUGGAUUUGGAUCAUGUUGUGAACUUUUUUUUCCUUUGCAUUUCAUUACAUUAGGGAUUUUUGGUUGUUGCGAGUAUA